UGCUUGAGCAGGCACGGCCACGCGUGCAUUCCUUUUCAGCUGUGCGACAAGGCUUGUAUCGUCUUGAUCGUAUAAGUGGGUUUCCUGUGUUGCAUACCUGAUCAAUGGCAUCGUCUUGAUCAAAAGUGUCUAUUUUUCGUCUGGCAAUGCACCUGCAUUGUCGGAUGAACCACGUAGCAUCCUCUUUGAUCCAUACAGUUGACGUGCUAUCGUUGAUUGUUUGGCCCAUUGAGCGGUGACUCGGUCUCUCGGAUAUGGAAGCCAAAGUGGGCAUGGGAUCGCAAGAUCUCUUUAUUGUCCUCAUUGAGCGUUCUCACUUCUCUUACAUGACCGCCUUUCACGUAUGGCUACGUCCCAGCGUGUUUGGCUACGUCGAAGAGGAAUGUUGGGCGUUCUUGCUUUUCUUACACGACUGCCUUUCACGUAUGGCACGUCCCAGCGUGUUUGGCUAUGUCGAAGAGGAAUGCUACCUGGUUGAUCCUGCCAGUA
rnacentral:misc_RNA from 1 species